rnacentral:rRNA from 1 species
AUUGAACGCUGGCGGCAGGCCUAACACAUGCAAGUCGAACGCGUGGCGGACGGGUGAGUAAUGUCUGGGAAACUGCCCGAUGGAGGGGGAUAAAUACUGGAAACAGUAGCUACUACCGCAUACCAUCGGAUGUCCCCAGAUGGGAUUAGCUAGUAGGGGGGGGAAAGGCUCACAAAGGCGACGAUCCCUAGCUGGUCUGAGAGGAUGACCAGCCACACUGGAACGGAGACACGGUCCAGACUCCUACGGGAGGCAGCAGUGGGGAAUAUUGCACAAUGGGCGCAAGCCUGAUGCAGCCAUGCCGCGUGUAUGAAGAAGGCCUUCGGGUUGUAAAGUACUUUCAGCGAGGAGGCGUUACUCGCAGAAGAAGCACCGGCUAACUCCGUGCCAGCAGCCGCGGUAAUUC